UUUGUGAUUCAUGACUGGGGUGAAGUCGUAACAAGGUAACCGUAGGGGAACCUGCGGUUGGAUCACCUCCUUACCUUAAAGAA
rnacentral:rRNA from 9 species